ACGCUGGUCAGGACAGUGUUAUAGGCGGUGGGUCCAUUAAAUCUGACCGAGGAGGCUGGGCUCUACCCAAAUAUGAAUCGGAUGCUAGCAUACUGGACUGGUCAACCACAGAAAAAUCUGUGGAUAGAGGGAAGCCUAAAGCUUACUGAUAAAAGGCCUACAUAAUACUACCCAAGAGAAGGAGGAACCUUACUGAGGAUGUAGCUAUGUUUACUUUCUAUGGGAGGAACCUUACUGAUGAGGACCACUACUGGCAAAUGUUCCCAUUAAAACCCCAUUAGUUUUAUACCCAUUAAUAAUGUACCGAUUAAUGGGUAACAUUAAUUGUCAAAUUCCAUUAUUUUUAAUUCAUAAUUAUUAAUGGCCAUCAUAAAAUAAUGGUAUAAUAAUGGUAUACAAUAUCUGGUGUUAAAGGCCAUUAUGAUAAAAACCCUGUAAUGGCUAUUAAAAAUCACUCGUGAUAUUUAAUUGGCAUUAUUUUUUUCUCAAUAAUGGGCAUUAAAAUCUCUCUCUCUUUCUUUAAUGUCAAUUACUGUAAUGGUCGUUAAUAUACACUGUCCAUUAAGUCACCCAUUAAUUGGUACAUUAUUAAGAGCCAUGAUAUUUUUCACAAUUAAUUUUUGCAUAUAGUAAUGGCCAUUAAAAUGAACCACAUAGUAGUUACGUUUAUUUUCUAUGGGAGGAACCUUACAUGUUACAACAUUGUUAAUAUAAAACUUUUACAUACCAUGGGUCAAUACAAAUGUGGUCAUUGUGUUGUCAUUUAAAAGUACACAGUUGCUGUUUCAUGUUUUACUUCCCAAAUCUUUAUUUUUAUACGCCGGUCAAAUUUGACGGGAGUAUUAUGGUAUGGGG